UAAGUUUGCGCACGCGCGGGGUGCGCGCGUGAGAAGUUAAUUCAGCGACGCGGUAGAUUUGAAAAAGUACAAAAUAGGGGGACAGGACAAUUUUCGAUUUUUAUCCCCCUCUUCUUCCUCCCUUCCUUUCCCGCUCGCCCCCUCCACCGACGACGCUGCCGCCAACCGCCGCUGCUCCGCCACCUCCGCCGCCGCCGCCGAGCUCCGGCCACCGCCGCCGACUCCGCCCCCGCUCCCUCCCUCGACGACGGAGCCGGCGUCCCGCCUCCGUCCGCCCCCGUUUCCUGGCGUGCUCGACUCCUUCGAGCCUCGCGGCGGUUUUGGACCGGCGGAAUCGAGGGCUUUUCUUCCCCGCGCGCGCCCCCCCCCGAAGUGACGGUUGACGGCGGCGAAGGCUCCUCGUCCGACGGGGAGCGGCCCCGGUCGGACACCGGCACGGUCCGCCCGCCCUUCUGCUUUCCCCCGUUUCUUCUAGUCUCCGAUCGGGUUGCCCGCUGUCAGUGAAUUGCGGGGUUGGUUUGUCGUCCACUCCGGCGGAAGCGCGGAGAACGGCUCCGGGGAUUCGGGUGAGUAAAUUCAAGUUGCUGCAUCUUCGGUUGGUUGUUUCUUCUUACUUGUUUGCAAGUCAACGUCGGUUCUUGAG
rnacentral:lncRNA from 1 species